rnacentral:rRNA from 1 species
GCAUAUCAAUAAGCGGAGGAAAAGAAACCAACAGGGAUUACCUCAGUAACGGCGAGUGAAGCGGUAACAGCUCAAAUUUGAAAUCUGGCCCUUUCAGGGUCCGAGUUGUAAUUUGUAGAGGAUGUUUCGGGUGUGGCUCCGGUCUAAGUUCCUUGGAACAGGACGUCAUAGAGGGUGAGAAUCCCGUAUGUGACUGGUUGCCUAUGCUCAUGUGAAACUCCUUCGACGAGUCGAGUUGUUUGGGAAUGCAGCUCAAAAUGGGUGGUAAAUUUCAUCUAAAGCUAAAUAUUGGCCAGAGACCGAUAGCGCACAAGUAGAGUGAUCGAAAGAUGAAAAGCACUUUGGAAAGAGAGUUAAACAGUACGUGAAAUUGUUGAAAGGGAAGCGCUUGCAACCAGACUUGCACUUGGUCGAUCAUCCUCUGUUCUCAGUGGUGCACUCGAUCUCGUUCAGGCCAGCAUCGGUUUUGGUGGUUAGAUAAAGGCCUUAGGAAUGUAGCUUCCCUCGGGGAGUGUUAUAGCCUAGGGUGCAAUGUAGCCUACCGGGACCGAGGACCGCGCUUCGGCUAGGAUGCUGGCGUAAUGGUUGUAAGCGACCCGUCUUGAAACACGGACCAAGGAGUCUAACAUCUAUGCGAGUGUUUGGGUGUUAAACCCAUACGCGUAAUGAAAGUGAACGUAGGUGUGAACCCUUAAGGGUGCAACAUCGACCGAUCUUGAUGUCUUCGGAUGGAUUUGAGUAAGAGCAUAGCUGUUGGGACCCGAAAGAUGGUGAACUAUGCCUGAAUAGGGUGAAGCCAGAGGAAACUCUGGUGGAGGCUCGCAGCGGUUCUGACGUGCAAAUCGAUCGUCAAAUUUGGGUAUAGGGGCGAAAGACUAAUCGAACCAUCUAGUAGCUGGUUCCUG